AAAUUCUAACAUAAAGCAAGCAUAAGGAAACUGACAUCUGCAAAAAGACAUGCAUCCGGCGGAAUAUCCUCCUGCGCCGGAGCAAUCCCAAAAGUGGAACGUCGAAGAUGGAGAGAGGCAUAGGCCGAUUACACGGUACACCAAGGUUUGAAAGCCAAUUUUUUUUCUGUCAUACUGUUCCUAAGGUAUGAGUUGGUUUUUAAUGAGUCUUAAAGGACAGAUAGUGCAGUUUAGAAAGCCAUCUCCCUGCCCGUGUUUUUUACCCAGACAUUUUAAAAAUACAUUUAAUGCUGUCAUUGCAAUACCAUAAUAUUUUUGCUCAAGGUUAUCAUACCGUCAGCAUCUCAUCCCGGCCCAUGCCUGAAAAUAAACAAUUUUUGGGGAUAAAAUAAAUCUGUUUAAGGCAUUAAGGAUCUUCUUGGAUCAUAUUGCAACCUCUUGCCUUUGGGGAUGAUCACUGAACUCAACUGAUUGUGGUAGCACAAAAAAGUAGUCCAGUUUAGUUUCCAUAAUUUAACUGCCAUGAUGAUGAAGAAUGUUGAUUGAUUCCCCGACUAAAAUCUGAAGGAGAUUUCUAUCAAGACAGUUCAGGUAUACAUUUUAAUGAUAAAUCAUAUGCACAUAUUGCAGGCCAUUUAGGAGGUAAAUAGGGAUGUUUGUUCCAUCUGUACAAGGCUUUUGUUAAAUUUCGUUUCAAUGGGGCAGCUCGUGG